CCUACGGGAGGCAGCAGUGAGGAAUAUUGGUCAAUGGGCGCGAGCCUGAACCAGCCAAGUCGCGUGAGGGAGGACGGCCCUACGGGUUGUAAACCUCUUUUGCCGGGGAGCAACGGGCGUCACGUGUGGCGCCACUGAGAGUACCCGGAGAAAAAGCAUCGGCUAACUCCGUGCCAGCAGCCGCGGUAAUACGGAGGAUGCGAGCGUUAUCCGGAUUUAUUGGGUUUAAAGGGUGCGUAGGCGGAAUGCCAAGUCAGCGGUAAAAUCGCGGGGCUCAACCUCGCUCCGCCGUUGAAACUGGCGUUCUUGAGUGGGCGAGAAGUAUGCGGAAUGCGUGGUGUAGCGGUGAAAUGCAUAGAUAUCACGCAGAACUCCGAUUGCGAAGGCAGCAUACCGGCGCCCAACUGACGCUGAAGCACGAAAGCGUGGGUAUCGAACAGGAUUAGAUACCCGAGUAGUC
rnacentral:rRNA from 1 species